rnacentral:rRNA from 1 species
CCCAGCCCGGCGAGGUUUUGGGUCCAAUCCACGCGGGUCCGCAGGGAUUACCCCCGCCGGGGAAUAAACCCGGCCCAUCCAGUUUUUCUCGUUCGGUUAAGCCCCGCGUUGUAUUUCCCCGGCCCAAACCUCUCCAAACCCACGCGGAAAAAAUCAUCCACUAGCACCCCGUGGAAGGAAUCCCCGAGCGAGGCGCUCGUCUCAUCUCUCCCGAGCGACAGAAGCGGCGGCAAGGAGGCGGCGGGGACGAGUGGACGGCGGCGGCGCAACCUACCCGGAGGAGGAGGGUGCCCUCCUGCUUCGACGACCUGCCACGAAGCCCGCCGGAACCCUAGCCUCUAAUUGUCCCAUCUCCCCUGCCGCCCCCUUGCCGCGGGCCCGCGGUCGGAACCCUAGCUCCGGAGAAGUGGUUGCUGCAGGCGA